rnacentral:rRNA from 1 species
GAUGAACGCUGGCGGCGUGCCUAAUACAUGCAAGUCGAGCGAACAGACGAGGAGCUUGCUCCUCUGACGUUAGCGGCGGACGGGUGAGUAACACGUGUAUAACCUACCUAUAAGACUGGUAUAACUUCGGGAAACCGGAGCUAAUACCGGAUAAUAUAUUGAACCGCAUGGUUCAAUAGUGAAAUACGGUUUUGCUGUCACUUAUAGAUGGAUCCGCGCCGCAUUAGCUAGUUGGUAAGGUAACGGCUUACCAAGGCGACGAUGCGUAGCCGAACUGAGAGGGGGAUAGGCCACACUGGAACUGAGACACGGUCCAGACUCCUACGGGAGGCAGCAGUAGGGAAUCUUCCGCAAUGGGCGAAAGCCUGACGGAGCAACGCCGCGUGAGUGAUGAAGGUCUUCGGAUCGUAAAACUCUGUUAUUAGGGAAGAACAAAUGUGUAAGUAACUAUGCACGUCUUGACGGUACCUAAUCAGAAAGCCACGGCUAACUACGUG